UCCGUAGGUGGAUAAUUAAGUCAGAGGUGAAAGUUUGCAGCUCAACUGUAAAAUUGCCUUUGAUACUGGUUAUCUUGAAUUAUUGUGAAGUGGUUAGAAUAUGUAGUGUAGCGGUGAAAUGCAUAGAUAUUACAUAGAAUACCAAUUGCGAAGGCAGAUCACUAACAAUAUAUUGACACUGAUGGACGAAAGCGUGGGGAGCGAACAGGAUUAGAGACCCUGGUAGUCC
rnacentral:rRNA from 1 species